GAAACGUGACCGAGUGGCCGAAGGUGCUCCCCUGCUAAGGGAGUAUGGGGUGUAGAGCCUCAUCGAGGGUUCGAAUCCCUCCGUUUCCGCCA
rnacentral:tRNA from 1 species